UGGCCAUCCGAGUUGUAAUCUAGAGAAGUGUUACCCGCGUCGAACCGUGUACAAGUCUCCUGGAAUGGAGCGUCAUAGAGGGUGAGAAUCCCGUCUUUGACACGGACCCCCGAGGCUUUGUGGUGCUCUCAAAGAGUCGAGUUGUUUGGGAAUGCAGCUCAAAAUGGGUGGUAAAUUCCAUCUAAAGCUAAAUAUUGGCGAGAGACCGAUAGCGAACAAGUACCGUGAGGGAAAGAUGAAAAGAACUUUGGAAAGAGAGUUAAACAGUACGUGAAAUUGCUGAAAGGGAAACGCUUGAAGUCAGUCGCGUUGGCCGGAAAUCAGCCUGGCUUUUGCCUGGUGUACUUUCUGGUUGACGGGCCAGCAUCAGUUUUGAUUGGUGGAAAAAGUCUAGAGGAAGGUGGCAUCUUCGGAUGUGUUAUAGCCUCUGGUCGUAUACAUCAGUUGGGACUGAGGAACUCAGCACGCCGCAAGGCCGGGUCUUUGACCACGUUCGUGCUUAGGAUGCUGGCAUAAUGGCUUUAAUCGACCCGUCUUGAAACACGGACCAAGGAGUCUAACAUGCCUGCGAGUGUUUGGGUGGAAAACCCGAGCGCGUAAUGAAAGUGAAAGUUGAGAUCCCUGUCAUGGGGAGCAUCGACGCCCGGACCUGAAGUUCUCUGACGGCCCUGCGGUAGAGCAUGUAUGUUGGGACCCGAAAGAUGGUGAACUAUGCCUGAAUAGGGUGAAGCCAGAGGAAACUCUGGUGGAGGCUCGUAGC
rnacentral:rRNA from 1 species